rnacentral:rRNA from 1 species
AGUGAACGCUGGCGGUAGGCCUAACACAUGCAAGUCGAACGGCAGCACAGUAAGAGCUUGCUCUUACGGGUGGCGAGUGGCGGACGGGUGAGGAAUACAUCGGAAUCUACUUUUUCGUGGGGGAUAACGUAGGGAAACUUACGCUAAUACCGCAUACGACCUACGGGUGAAAGCAGGGGAUCUUCGGACCUUGCGCGAUUGAAUGAGCCGAUGUCGGAUUAGCUAGUUGGCGGGGUAAAGGCCCACCAAGGCGACGAUCCGUAGCUGGUCUGAGAGGAUGAUCAGCCGCACUGGAACUGAGACACGGUCCAGACUCCAAGGGAGGCAGCAGUGGGGAAUAUUGGACAAUGGGCGCAAGCCUGAUCCAGCCAUACCGCGUGGGUGAAGAAGGCCUUCGGGUUGUAAAGCCCUUUUGUUGGGAAAGAAAAGCAGCAGGUUAAUACCCCGCUGUUCUGACGGUACCCAAAGAAUAAGCACCGGCUAACUUCGUG